GUCCCUUCGGGGCAUCCGAUAAAAUUGGGACACAGAGAAGAUUAGCAUGACUCAUGCGCAAGGAUGACAUGCACAAAUCGAGAAACGCUAUCGGUGUAG